AUGCUGGAGCUAGAGGACGGAGGCGUGGCGCCCAUUGAUGAUGUCGCCGACAUCUACUUCGUCAAGCUGGAGCGCGAAGGCGCAGAGCUCGCAGGGAUGGUGCCGCGUGCCGCGGAGGAUGGCGAGACGGAGCUCGCUAGGACGACGCCCGUCGUCUUCUUCAUCAAGUCGGCGCCAUGGAGGACAAAGGCGUGGAGGCUCGCAACGAUGCCACCACCGUGCCGCCUUGGAUGGCGGCGCAGAGCUCGCAAGGAGGACACCACCAACGUCAACAUCAUCAAGCUGAACCGGAGGCACGGAGCUCCCGAGGAUGCCGCCGCAUGCCGCGAAGGACGACGGAGGCAUGGAGCUCGCGGGACAUCACCACCAAUGUCUACCUCGCCCGCGACACGGAGGCAAGAAGAUAACACACACCCUUGGUGCUGCCUACAACAUGGAGCCGCGAUGCGGUGCUGUCCGUGA
rnacentral:rRNA from 1 species